CGCCCUGCCGUAACGUCGGUCCCGCCUCUCAACCGCUGUGCUGGAGCUCGUUGCGCAUGCGCCGAGGUGCGUGCAGCGCCUCUAUAAGCCCGCUCUGGUGGGCUCUACCCGCAAUCUGCCGACGUCUGCAGAGGGCUUGUUCCCGGGCUCAGACCUGAGCCUGAAGGACGAGCUUGGUAAGAACCGCAGAGUCCCCGGGAGCCACUAUCGUGACGACAAAUGACCAGUGUAGCCUCAGGCUCCUACCAGGGCUCUGCACCUGGGGAAACUGAGGCACGGUGUCACACAGACGAGCAACUUUCUGCCGAUCUGCUCUGCUCUUGACGCUGCUGCCUUCACUGUGCUCCGAGUACUAAGCACUUGGUGCCUGGUUCUCCCGCGGUGCUGGAGGUGUGCAGGGUUUGUGCACCAGAGAAUGAGGAGCCAGAAGGGGUGCGCGCAGCCUUGGGGUGAGGUCCUGUUCUCGGGGCGCGUGCGCUGGGGAGUCGGCUCCUCUGGAGCAGGGCGUGAGGGGCCUGGACACCGAAUUUCUCCAGAGAGCAGCCGUCAGCGGAGCAGCCCGGACGUCUUCUCUGCACUUGAUCUGCGCCCAAGGCCAGAGGGCAGGGGACAGAGGAUCCGGGAGGUGUGUUUUGCAAAACGAAGAGUCCUGUGCUGAGUGAUGGGAGCUAAGUGAUUCCCCCCACGAGGACGUCCACUUCCCUGACCGUCUGCGCUUUCCUUCCUGACAGUGAGAAGCAGGGCCUCCCCAGCCCCUGACUGCUCUUCCUGGGCUCCGGGCUCCAGACCAGCAACAGCCAGGAGAUUUCCACCAGCGCAGGCCGAGGAGUCUCAAGACGCUGACUCAAGCCGUGGAGAAAAUUCUACCCUUGCAUCUGUAGCUACCUCGUGUUUUUCCUUCAGGGUUAUCAAGCAAAAUGAACAACUGGUAUCCACUAUAAUUUAAUAAAGACGAGCGGAAACCGUUUAAUGGACACAGACUGAAAUUCCAGGUGAAGGGAAGGCGUUACAGUGGGGAUGGAGGGAAACGCUGACAUUCUUCUUCCCGCAGCGGUGGACGCAAAUACAGUAACAUAGUUCCUUGCCAAGUAGUGUUUAAGAAACUAAGCACCGUAUGUGAUACACAAAUAGAAUGCGGUGGCACUGUUCGGGCGAUCCCUGCACAGCAAGACCCUCGGGCCUGAUUCGUAGCCCCUGCUGCCACACUUUGGACAGGUGUCGGAGGUGCGGCACUGCGCUCUCCACAGACAGUGGGGCGACUGCUCCCGGAGACAAGUUGGUAGUAAAGUAUUUCCACAUGGUGCCCGAACAGGCAGCAAACGCCUCCAGUGGUUUUUGCAUACGUGCUAAGCAUGAGUGGUGCUAGUUCUUCGUUGUGAGGCGCGCACAGCACAACAGCGGCUGACCCAGGAGCGCCCUAGGAACGCGGGCACGUGUCCUGCCUAUAAUUUGAAAGUGGGAUCACUCAAGGGCUGCAGCCCAGCGCCGGAGAGCUGGCCUAGCGUGUGCAAGCCCUGGAUCCCAGCCACAGUGCUGCCAGAAAGACGCUGCAAUUUAUUUCUUUGAUAAUAGGGGUUGAACCUUUUUUUUUCCUCUCAGAAUUGCCUGUUCACGUUUUACAGGUUAUGAAUGAAAUAAUAUUUUUAAAAACUAACUCAUAAGAAUCCUAUUAUACAUGUAUGACAGGUGCUUACUGUUUGCCAUGUUUCAAGUAUUUCUCCCAGCGUUUGUUUCUUUUUUAAGUUUCUUUGCCAAUCACUAAUUUUUAAUAUUUGUGGGUGGUUGAAUUCCUUACCCUUUUCCUUUGUGAUUUCAGCCUCGGGUUACAUUUUAAAAGACAGAUUUUUCUUUUAUUUAUUUAUUUUUUGUCUUUUUCGUUUUUACCGGUACCAGGGAUCAAACUCACGACUGCCUGCUUGCAAGCACUCCCAGCUGUGGAAGUUCCUGUACCUGACUCGUAACGCUUUUCCUCUGGGUGGAUGUCCCUGGUCAGUAGCCAUGAGAAGCUCUCCCCUGUGGAGGUCACCGUCAAUGGCUUCUUCCCUGGGUGGACGUCCCGAGCCAGUGACUCCGUCAGGGCACCACCUGUCCAGCCUAUGAGCUUGCGCCUGACUGAGUGAUGAGGAUGAAAACAAAGAGACACAGAAUCAAAGACGCCAGGUGCCUCAUGUAUCCCCUGCCCAGACCAGACCGUGUGCAGCCAAGCCCCAGGUGAAGGCCUCACCAGAACUCAUCACAGUACUUCUGCACUGGUGUCUCUGCUGAGGUAUAAAACCAUGCUGCCCCUGCUGCCCAUGUAGCUCUCAGAACUUCCUUCCAUGGUCAUUUAUCUCAGUGGCUUCGGAUUUGUAUUGUUGGACUUUCCAAAUCCUCAGUCCUCAGCUUCACGUCACCCACGGGGCUGUCACAGGGGAUGCCGUGGGCUGUGCCUGCACGCUCUGAAUUGUCCUCUGUUCUGCCUUUGGAGCUCUCUUCUGAACUGUUUCCUUCUUUGAAUCUUCCUGAUUCAUCUCAGAUUAGGCACAUCCUGCAGAAAGUGCCAAGUCAGAAGUCUGUUUUAGGGCAUUCCCUGAAAAAGUUGUAAUAAGACAACACAGAGAACAAGAAAAUAUUAACUCAAAGAUUAAGAAAGAAAUGGCAAAAAAUGUUUCUCCAAGCCGAGGAUAAUGGUGCGCAUCUGUAAUCCCAACUGCUUAUGAGGCUGAGGCAGGAACAUCUUGAACUUUAGAGCAACCUGGGAACACUGGUAGGCCUGGUCUCAAAAAUUUAAGCACAGGGUUGGUAUCCAUCUGACAGAGGGCAUGCCUCACAAGCUCAGGACUCAGAAUUCAACCCUCACAAGAACUUGGCAGAAUUGUUUUCUAUUUGUUGUUGGUUUUUUUUGAGCCAGAGUAUUGAUAUAUAGUGCGAGCUGGCCUUGAUCUUGCUUAUGUAGCCCAGGCUGGCCUGGAAUUCUGUGUGAUCCUCCUGACUCAGCCUCAAGCACUGGGAUUACCAUCGUGCACCGCCCCUCCCCCAGCUGAGACCUGCUUUUUGGCACAAACUCUCCCUUUUGUGCGUUCAGUGGCAAGGAUUCAGCACAGUGAUGUCCUGCAUUUGCCAAAGAGUCCUCCAGCCUAAGUGUGUAUACAGAUCACACUUACUCAGCAGUAACAUGACUCAGGCACACACAGGACACUAGAGACUCAACAGCAAAGGAGUCAGCACAAAACUCUGCCUCUUAAAGCCGAGCAGGGCCAGCAAAUGGCAGUCUGAGGCUAGACCCCGCCUGCUCUGUGCUUUUGUUCAGCUUGUGGACUAAAAUGGUUUUUAUCUUUUUAAGUGGUUAAAAAUCCAUUACCAAGGGUUCUUUCCCUAACAAAGGAUAAAAACUAACAUUUAUACUGACUCAGUAUGGAUGUUACACUGCACGUUUAUGGGUCUAUAUACAGUAAUAGAGGGAUCCCAACUGCUGGGGAAAAUAAGAGUAUGAUAAAAAAAAAACUUUGUAGCUCCUGGAUGCUACACGGGACCUCCCCCAAAGGCUGUUAUAAACUGCAGGGGAACACUGAAGUGAAGUGUACUAGUCUAGAGAAAACCAAAAGACGCACAGAGGAACAAAAUGGGCUGUUACGACACCCCCAUGACCUGAAAGAGGGGCCCUGGCCCUUGGCCUCAUAUCAGAGCCUCCACUCCCAGAGACCCCAAAGUAUUUUCCAAAUUAAAACAAACAAACAAA